CCAGGAUGCCUCUGCGGGUCAACGGGGAGCGGCUCGACCCGUCGCGGCCCGCCCGGGAGCUGCUGCGUUUGUGCCCGGAGCUGGAGAAUUCAGUGACGAGCUGGAAAAGGGCAAUCCCUUUCCAUUCAUUUAUGGAAGUGGGUCCUCCCCCUGCCCUUUGUGAACAGAGACCCUUGUUCAUCCAACACCUGCUUGAAGCCAACUGGCAAAAUUCAUCAGCAUGCUGGGAGAAGCUUCACGCAAUGAUUUCUACCUAUUAUGUGGGGCUUCAAGUCAGCCUUUCUCAUCGGUGACUUCGCAAAUGUGGGACAUCCCCCCCCAACAGAUCUCUCAGAGGAAGAAGUAUGCUGCCAUUGCCUCUGUCCUCCAUCUCCCAUACCACAGUGCAGACAUUCAGAGAGUACAAAUGAAACAUUUCCCCUGUCAAGGCAGGCAGGGGCAACACAAGAGCAGAGAAUGGAAUAGCAAGUAAAAGGAUCCACUACUGCUGAUACAGAGUAAAGAGGCAAGUGGUGACAGUGCUAUCAUUGCCUUAAAGUGGAAAUGUUGUACAGUGGAAGGCCUGUAUGGUGGGAACAUCUGGUAGCUGGUCUGGUUGGAAGACAUCCUUGUCAGUUAAGGUAUCUGUGGAGUCACCUCCUUUUACUAUCACACCUGCUGCCAUCUUGUGCAAUAGUUGAAUAGGCACCAAGACACUGGAAUAAUGGCAGUCGCCACAGAUUUCCAGGUUAUUACCAACUGCCAUUAUUUUAAUGGUUGGAUUUAGUACAUAUUAAAGCAAAGAGGGAAUUUGGUUUGGAUUUUGAUUAGUUGAUUUCCAAAUGCACCUGCUCAAGCUAUAACAGCAUCCCUGUCAACUGUGCCAUACAUCACAGCAGCGGCUGUCAGCCUUGUUGAUUAUUGUCUAGAAAUUGGAAAAAACAAUGUCAAACACAAUGCCAAAAAGCAUUUAUUCUUCAAGGGAUAAAAUUGCACAGAAUUAUGUUAAGUGGCACAUUUCAUGCCGUCUAAAAGCACAGGGGCUACUGUUUGGUUCAUUACAACCUGGGCCCUGCAAAACCCAGCAACAGAGAGUACCUCCUUAAAAGAUUAAACAAGGACAAAUGUCGCUGAAUGUAAUUUAUU